CUACGGGAUGCUGCAGCGAGGAAUAUUGCACAAUGGGGGGAACCCUGAUGCAGCAACGCCGCGUGGAGGAUGACGCAUUUCGGUGUGUAAACUCCUUUUAUAUGUCAAGAAAAUGACGGUAGCAUAUGAAUAAGCACCGGCUAACUCCGUGCCAGCAGCCGCGGUAAUACGGAGGGUGCAAGCGUUACUCGGAAUCACUGGGCGUAAAGGACGCGUAGGCGGGUUGGAAAGUCAGGUGUGAAAUCCUACAGCUUAACUGUAGAACUGCACUUGAAACUUCUAAUCUAGAGUAUGGGAGGGGGAGAUGGAAUUAGUGGUGUAGGGGUAAGAUCCGUAGAUAUCACUAGGAAUACCUAAAGCGAAGGCGAUCUCCUGGAACAUUACUGACGCUAAGGCGUGAAAGCGUGGGGAGCAAACAGGAUUAGAUACCCCAGUAGUC
rnacentral:rRNA from 1 species